rnacentral:rRNA from 1 species
GACUGAGCGAAAGCAUUAAGUAAUCCACCUGGGGAGUACGUCGGCAACGAUGAAACUCAAAGGAAUUGACGGGGGCCCGCACAAGCGGAGGAACAUGUGGUUUAAUUCGAUGAUACGCGAGGAACCUUACCUGGGUUUAAAUGGGAAGUGACAGCUGUCGAAAGAUGGUUUUCUUCGGACACUUUUCAAGGUGCUGCAUGGUUGUCGUCAGCUCGUGCCGUGAGGUGUCGGGUUAAGUCCCAUAACGAGCGCAACCCCUAUCAGUAGUUACCAGCACGUGAAGGUGGGGACUCUACUGAGACUGCCGGUGUAAACCGUGAGGAGGGUGGGGAUGACGUCAAAUCAGCACGGCCCUUACAUCCAGGGCUACACACGUGUUACAAUGGCCGGUACAAAGGGCAGCUACUCCGCGAGGAGAUGCGAAUCUUAAAAGCCGGUCUCAGUUCGGAUCGAAGUCUGCAACCCGACUUCGUGAAGCUGGAUUCGCUAGUAAUCGCGCAUCAGCCAUGGCGCGGUGAAUACGUUCCCGGGCCUUGUACACACCGCCCGUCAAGCCAUGGGAGCCGGGGGUACCUGAAGUAUGUAACCGCAAGGAGCGUCCUAGGGUAAAACUGGUGACUGGGGCUAAGUCGUAACAAGGUAACCAAGG